rnacentral:sRNA from 1 species
ACUCUACUAAGCAUAGUACAAGGUUGGUAAUUGGAGAAUUUCAGCAAGAGUAAUGUCACUUUUUUCUAAUAAAACAGGUCUCACUGUCUCUAAGCCAGGCCUGAUCACCUGCCUGGAGCAACGAAAAGAGCCCUGGAAUGUGAAGAGACAGGAGGCAGCAGACGGACAUCCAGAGAUGGGAUUUCACCAUGCUACUCAGGCUUGUCUCGAACUCCUGGGCUCAAGCGAUCUGCCUGCCUCAGCCUCCCAAAGUGCUGGGAUUACAGGUGUGAACCACCGUGCCCAGCCAGGCCUCAAUGUUUCUGUGGACAAAUUCACUGCUAUGUCUUCUCAUUUUACCCAAGACCUUCUGCCAGAGCAGGGCAUACAAGAUGCAUUCCCAAAAACAAUACUGAGAGGAUAUGGAAAUUGUGGCCUUGAUAAUUUAUAUUUAAGGAAAGACUGGGAAAGUUUAGAUGAGUGUAAGUUGCAAAAAGAUUAUAAUGGACUUAACCAAUGUUCAUCAACUACCCAUAGCAAAAUCUUUCAAUAUAAUAAAUAUGUUAAAAUCUUUGAUAACUUUUCAAAUUU